CGGGACGUGGCGCAGCCUGGUAGCGCGCCUGCUUUGGGAGCAGGAUGUCGCAGGUUCGAAUCCUGUCGUCCCGACCA
rnacentral:tRNA from 7 species